rnacentral:snRNA from 1 species
AUUCUACCAGGUUGUAGAUGUGUAUAAGAGACAGGUGGUUCACCCAUUGCGAGGCUCGGCCAUUGCACUCUCGGCCGUGCUGACCAGUGUGAAUUCCCCAAAUGUGGGAAUCUCAACUGCAUAAUUUAUGAUAGUGGGGGACUGCGUUCGCGCUCUCCCCUG